CCAAACGCUGAAGAUGUGGCACAACCAGAACUUAGGCCCUCUGUCGCUGGUAGGAAUAGUAAAACAGCACCAUCACUUUGGAAAAGUGCCCCCAAAAGAAACAUCCUCUUACUGUGACUAUCCAACAGUUCCAUUUCUUGAUAAUUAACUUGUGAGUUAAAACUUAGAUCCACAGGAAAAUCUGCACACAGAUGUUUAUAGAAGCCGUAUUGCAAUUGUUCAAACUCAGGCCUGAUGGCAUAUACCUUUAAUCCUAGCACUCAGGAGAUGAGAUGGAGAAAGAAUUACAAUUUUGAGGCCAACCUGGGAUACGUAGCAAGCGCUAAAUCACCACAGGUACCAUGCAGGAGCAACGACACAAAAGUAAACACACUUUGAAGCCAUGAAAAAAUUCUUCACUAGGUCCCACUCUCAGAGAUGAGUACUGAAUGCUGUCCGGGGAAAGAGGACCCUUCCAGCUGCUUCCUGCUGAGAGGGGACUAGCAAUCCAAGAGAGAAGGGAUUCUAAUGAAGUGGGCUCCUGAGACCCACCCAGGCGAGCAUGUAGACGGUGACUUAGAGAGACCUGUGUAGAGAAGAAGAAUCUGUGGCGUGCUCAGCUCUACAUGGGAAUGCAUAUCACACCCCUUCCCUCGAGGCUCAGGGAUCAGCAUGGAAGAGAGGGGAGAAAGACUGCAAGAACAAGAGGAGUGGUUGGCAGCAGCAAAACAGGAUUUGCCAGGAACAGCAGUGAUCGAACAUAUAGACCGAAAGCUGCUGCGACUACAUGCUAAAGACCUAAGCAAGAUCAAAUUAGCAAAAAUCUCAGCACGGAAGGAGAAGGGCUCAUGAAGCCCCAGCCCUAGCUGAGAAGCUAUUAGCAAUUGCCGGCUGAUGUCAGAAUGAGAAUCAUCGUUUUGGUUGUUUGUUUUUCCAAGACUGUGUCUUAAAGCUGCUCCCCAUGCUCCAGCAGAUGCUCCCACACCUAUGCCCAUACAAGCUAUACUGAGUGGACAAAGUGGAUUCCAAAACAUAGUGUAUGAAGUUGGGAAGGGAAGGUGGUGGAGAAAUAGGAGAGUGAUUGGAGGGGGGAAAUUAGGGAUGAAUUUGAUUGAUCCAAGCACACUAAAUGUAGGCUUAUGAACUCCUUAAAUACCAAAAACAAUGAGACAGGUAUGGUUGUGCACACCUUUAAUGUCAGCACUUAGGAACCAGAGG